rnacentral:rRNA from 1 species
AGCGAACGCUGGCGGCAGGCCUAACACAUGCAAGUCGAACGGAUCCUUCGGGAUUAGUGGCGGACGGGUGAGUAACACGUGGGAACGUGCCCUUUGGUUCGGAACAACUCAGGGAAACUUGAGCUAAUACCGGAUGUGCCCUUCGGGGGAAAGAUUUAUCGCCAUUGGAGCGGCCCGCGUCUGAUUAGCUAGUUGGUGAGGUAACGGCCCACCAAGGCGACGAUCAGUAGCUGGUCUGAGAGGAUGAUCAGCCACACUGGGACUGAGACACGGCCCAGACUCCUACGGGAGGCAGCAGUGGGGAAUCUUGCGCAAUGGGCGAAAGCCUGACGCAGCCAUGCCGCGUGAAUGAUGAAGGUCUUAGGAUUGUAAAAUUCUUUCAGCGGGGACGAUAAUGACGUUACCCGCAGAAGAAGCUCCGGCUAACUUCGUG